rnacentral:lncRNA from 1 species
AUAGGAUUUUAAGAAAGCAGAAUUGUAAUGUGGAGUGAAAAGAAAAGCGAGAGGUUGGGUCGGAAACUAGGUUAUCAGUACAAUGCAGAAAGGGAAAAUAAAUGCUAAUAGACUGCACAUAUGCCCUUCCCACUAGAUUAGAGACCAGGAGGGCGCCUGCUGGAUUCGGCCCAUUGUGUGGCCGAACAGAACACAGGGUCUGGGCUAUUAUCCCCUCCACAGCCCCUUGUGCCACAGAUGGUUCUUCUUGCUUCUCUUAUCGGGCCGUGCAUUCAGUCUCUGUAGCUUGAUCUCUUCCUCACUCUUCUGCUCAUACAAAAUGGAUUGAUCUGCUGAAAGAGAGGGGCUGGAGAGAGGCUGUCUCGGGAGGAAAGGGGAGGGUGUGAAGACAAAAGCCGGGGAGGCCAGGUGCAGUGAUGGGGUGGGGAGGGAAGAGAGAGACUCAGUGCCUUGCUGGGGACAGCCCCGUUAGCAGUCAGCAGCCUUGUCUCCCCUAGGCCUCGAGCUCAGCCGCCUGGAAAAUGGCCUUGUGCCUUUGUGCUCUGGACAGCCAAAGCUCUCAGGUGUUGAACAAGCAAGCAGCGCUGACUGCCUUUUCUCCCUUCCCUGGGGAUGCUGAACGUCUAGGGCUGGCGUUGCUGGUGGUCCCCUCCCAGGAGACCCAAAGCUCUGCCUUUGAGCUGACUGACGAGCUGCAAAUUCAGCAAAGGUGAGCAGGGGUUGAGAACCGUGGCCUUAUGAGAGACAGCCCUCCCAGGAGAGCCAGCUGUCCCAAGACAGCCUACCUGGAAGGAUGGAAGGGUCAUUCCUCAGGGCUGAAUCCAGAGCCCAAGGUGUGCUGAACACAAGUCUCCUCCUGAUCUGGAUCCACAAGAGGUUGUAUGACUGAGAGCACAUCCAGGCUCCUUUACUUACAAGCUGUGGGGCCUCCAGACAUUUGCCCAGCUGUAUUCAUAGUGUUACUGGUGAAGAUUAAAUGGGUUGGUCAUGGAAAGAUCUCAGAACAAUGAGUGGCUUAGAAUAAUACCUUAAAACUUAGCUAUGAUUUUCAUCAUCAUCAUGGUCAUCAUCAUCAUCAUCAUAUAUCUAUAUUAGAACCAUUUUCUAUUAACAUUACAUAUUAUCAGUAUUACAAUGUACCUCCGUAUGAGACAUCAUGGCAUAAUUGAGAGAACAUGGACUUUGUGGACAGGCAGUUUGAGACCUCACCCUGACACUCAAAUCACACAGUAUUUGUGUGAUUUUUGGUGUGUUACUUCUCUUUUCAAGCCUCAGUUUCCUAACUGUGAGGUGGGGCUAAUGCUAUAAAUUACCCAGUACAGAGCCUGCACAUUAGAGCAGUUCGAUACAUGGGAGCUGUCACUCUUCAGAAUAGCCCAUGCAAACACAUGUUAUGUGUACCUGUGCGUGCCUGUGUGUCAUUGAGUUUGGGUGGUCAGUUUCUGCUGGUGUGUGUUGAACAUAGAACCUAGAAGCAAGUGUCUGAAACAGCAGAACAGACUGGGACAGGGAGAGGCUGGCAAGAAGGAAUGUAAGCAGAAUCAGAGACAAGGACCUCAGAAUUCCAGUCCUGGUUCAUUGCCCUAAUACCUCUUUCCCUUCUUCCUGUGGCAGGUGCCUGUGGGCUACAGGCCUGGGCCUUAAUGGGUCAAGUCCUGCUUGUGGCUCCUGUCAACCUUCAAGCACAACUUCUCUCUCUCCUGGAACUGAGCAGCUUUGUGUACUUUGAAGCCCCUAAAUGCAGUUUGGGGGGCUCUUGAUCAGGGAGUUAAGAGGUUCAAGUUAAUCCUGGCUCCCCAUCAGUGGAAAAUGAGGAAUAGCGCAAGGACCUUUUUCUCAAUGUGCCUUAGUUUCACCAUCUGUAAACAGAGGGCUGGGGCAGACAAAUCCCAUAUCCCCUGUCCCCCACAGCAAAAUCUUACAUCCAGAUGAAGUGUGUCCUGUCCUCUGAGCAUCUUUUUGCUGCAUCUUUGCAAGGAAGAUUGUAAAUGUCGGUGUGAACGUAGAAAGAAGUGUCUGAAACAGCAGAACUGACUGGGACAGGGAGAGGCUGGCAAGAAGCAAUCAUUUGAUAUUAAGCCCCUGCUAAACAUCAAGCUUGUCAUGAAGAAAUGAGGUCAGCACACAAAGGGAAUGCCCCUUGGAGAAACUCAGCACUCCAUUUGGAGCUAACUGGACCAAUUCUUGACCAGUGAAAAGAUAAAUCCAGUGUAAGGUGCAAGCACCUGCUUUUAACAUGAUGCCAUUGUGAUUUUAGCUGCUGCUCACAGGUUCCCAAGACAUGAAUCUACAGAUGAUCCAUUUUCCCAGAUCCAGAGCUGAGCCCUGAUGAAGCCACACAUCUCACCUCACGGUGGUGCAGUUCUGUGGGGAGGCCGUCUCUGCAGGAUGGAACCCCUUCCCUCUCAAGAGGUGCCAGGAACCCAGACCUAUCACAAGGUGACCCCACUUGGGGGUAGUUCAGGGAUCUGCCUGAACCACUUCCUUCUUUGAUUUUCCACAGGGUCACUUGCAGAACAAAACUGACUCUGGGAAAAGAAAGUCUUCAGUAUUUUGAAUCCAUUGAUACACAGGUGAAACAAAUCAGUUUGCAUUUUCCCUAUACUUUCAACACUUUGUUUCUGAAUAAUAAUAAAAGAGUUCCUGAAGCAAAUACUAUUUUGAGCCUAAUUUCUGGAGGCUCCUAGCAGGCAAAUCACUCUUUCUCUUGCGGUGAUGUUCUUUUUAGUCUUAAAAAGAAAAGACUUAAGGGAAGAAGCUGUCUUUUAUUUUUCAAACAUUGAGCAGGUGCCUUGAGGAAGAAGCCCUGGGUGCCUUGGUGGCUGCGGUGGGUAGAACAGGGGGAGACAGGUAGAGGGGGCAAGUGGAGAUUUGGACUGGAAAAUAGAAUACUCCAGUUCAGCAGUUCCCAACCAGGCUGUACAGUAGAGCCACUUGGGGAUGUUUUAAAAAGAACCAAUUCCCGCUCCCCUCCCUAGGUAAUACUGAUUUAGCUUGUCUGGCACAGGGCCUGGGAAUCUGCAUAUUUGAAAGACCCAUUCUCUACCUAGGAAAUCAGAAUUAUUACAGGAGAAGUGUGGGAACUAUAUUUUAAAAAAAUGGCUGGCUAGGCACGGUGGUUCACAC